UUGAGAAUCUGCGAAAAGAAU
rnacentral:piRNA from 1 species